rnacentral:lncRNA from 1 species
GACUCUUUAAGGAAAUUAAAAAAUACACAAAAUGAUAUUCAAUAUAGCAUCUUUAUUACCACAGAAACUCAUUUAUGUCCUUAAUCAUUGUUUAAUAUAAUAUAUAAGCAUGUUUAACACAAACAUAUCAAGGAUCGGGCUGGAAUCUUUUCCAUUCUAUAGAAAAGCACUAACCAUCCAUUAAAGCAGGUAGCUACUUUCAGAGCAUGAUAUGAGCUGCAAAAAAUUGCCCUGACUUAUGCCGCCCCCAACACAACCACUCACCAUAUCUAAAAUUACACCCUUGAAGACAUUCAUUGUGGUUAUGGUAGCAUCUAACAAAGCUGUUCCUAUUCCAGAUAUUCGGACUGAGAAUUCCACAAUAAAUUUGAGAUACACUCAGUUAAAUAAAAAUGUCUUUACUAAAUCUUUGGCAAACUGAUCAUGUAUACUUUGAAUUCCUCAAAAGUAGAUUUUUAUUUUAUUUUAUUUGAGACUGAGUUUCACUCUUGUUGCCCAGGUUGGAGUGCAAUGGCAAAAUCUCAGCUCACUGCAAUCUCCAUUUCCUGGGUUGAAAGGAAUAAAAAAGAACAAUAGAUAGGCUGGGCGUGGUGGCUCACACCUGUAAUCCCAACACUUUAGGAG